CCUGUAUUCAAGAUGGCGUCCAUACAUAAUGGCGGACGCUAUAUCCAAGGAGCGAAAAACUUCUCGAAGGCGUUUCAUGGUGCAUAAAGUUGUCUAUCCAGUUAGAAUGUGUGGGAAAUGUGUUCUUUUUUUAAGAAAAUGGAUUACCGCAACAUUUUCGUGUGGCUCAUAAGAAAAAUAUCACGCUGCAAGAUAUUAAUUUAAAAAUUCGACAUUGACAUUGAAACGCAUGUAUUGUAUGGCGAAGAAACGUUGUGAUAUAUUCAAUAUCAGCAUGAGAAAAAAUCAAAGGCGAGUUAAUAUCAUGAAUAAUUUCUUUUACAGUUGAGAAUAAUGCUUGUUUAGCAAAUUUUUGCGUCCUUAGACCUUAAUAAUAUUUUUGUGCGGGGAUAAAAAUCAUAAAAUAUGCACAUAUUUUAAUAUUUGUUGAUUUACAACUAUUAGGUAUUGAGUGGAUGUUGGUUCAAAGUUUCCAGGGAAGAUGUUAAUGUAUUUGCUGAAGAUGCAAGGAAAGCUUCCAAAAUUUACGGAGUAAUAAAUUCUUGGAAAUGCAGACCAAAAUAAUCUAUGCAAAAUAUCAGUUGGUAUACCAAACAAACAAUGGAUGCAACACAUGGAAACAUUGAAGGGAACAUUAUUGUGGUUGAAUGCUCUUUUACAAAGAUAAACUUAAAUCGAGACAUAAAUAUGAACCUAGAAUAGCUCAAAUUUGUUACAGCUUGCCCCCCCCUGAAUAUAACCCCCACUCAUUGUCUUUAUUUGUUAUUAAUACAUGUUUAUUUUCCUGUUUAUGACUGACUUGUUUAUUAUAUACUAACACAAGACUGAAAAGAGCACCCAUGUACUGUAUAAGCCCAUCAAAAAUUGCUUAAAAAGAAU
rnacentral:lncRNA from 1 species